rnacentral:tRNA from 1 species
UUGGAGUGCCAGAUAAUAUGGGUGUGAUUUAGGAUUAUAUUAAGGCUUUUUUAGCCCUCUAGC